rnacentral:tRNA from 1 species
CAGAAAGUAGAGUCGUCGUGUAAAAUAUUAAUUUUGGAGAUUAAUGAUAGAGAAUAUUCUCUUUUUCUGA